AGGGCUGUACCCGCAGCAUAUGGAAUUUCCCAGACUAGGGGUUGGUCAGAGUUACAGCUGCCAGCCUAUACCACAGCUGCAGAAACACCAGAUCCAAGCUGCAUCUAUGGCAUACACCACAGCUCACUGCAAUGCCAGAUCCUUAACCUACUAAGUGAGGCCAGGGAUUGAACCUGGACCCUCAUUGACCCUAGAUGGGUUCAUUACUGAUGAGCCAGGAUGGAAACUCCAACUAGGAACAUUUUUGUAACCAAGCUAUAGAAAUCAUGAAACAGACAAGCACUGACCCUACCCUAUUAGAACUUAAGAACUUUAUUACUAUAACUUUUAACCAGGAAUUCUGGUUUAUAGAACAAAUCUAAUCACUUUCCACAUGAACAGUUCUUCAAAUACUUGAAUUUAUCUCUCAUAUCUUGCAUGAGAUUUUUUUUAAGGCUAAUUAUGUCAAGUUCCUUCCAACCAUCAUGAUGCAGUAUGUAAGACAGGACUCUGCAGUAGUGAGAAUGUUUAUUUCAUAAGGUUUCUAAAAGCAAAGAGGGAGAAAUUAUGGCAAAGAUAUGUUGCAACUUGUUUCAGCUUAGAGAUAAGAUACACUCUCAAAGUAACACAUGGCUGCCUGGCAGAAUAGAUCUGCUACAUAUACUUACAUAUUGUGAUUUCUAAAUAAAAACUAUUAAUGUCAAAUCAAAUAAAUCUUUUAUUUUUUGCCCUUUUUUUUAGAGCCACUCCCGUGGCAUAUGGAGGUUCCCAGGCUAGGGCUAGAAUUGGAGCUACAGCUGCCAGCCUGUGCCAGAGCCACAGCACCACCAGAUCCAUCUGAGCCACGUCUGCCACCUACACCACAUCUCACGACAACGCCAGAUCCUUAACCCACUGAGUGAGGUCAGGGAUCGAACCCGCAAUCUCAUGGUUCCUAGUCAGAUUUGUUUCUGCUGUGCCAUAACGGGAACUCCAAAUUCAAAUAAAUCUUAAAAGUGAUCCAUGAUGAUGAACAUGAUAUUGACCUAAGUUAUCCAUCCAUAGGGCUUAUAAAAAAUGGCUAAAAGAUAAGAGAUUUGGAGUCAUUCAAAUAGAAGACUAACUAUGAGAAUUUAGGCUGAAUAGGUAAUAGUAGAUAAAGAAAUAGGUUCACUCUGGGGGAAAAAUGAGUCAUUUUUUGUUUGUUUGUUUUGUUUUUUUGUUUUGUUUUGUUUUGGCGAAGAUUGGAAAAUUAAUGACAACACACUAUAUUUAAGGAUAGUAAUAGACUGUGAUGAAACGUGUUUUCAGCAUGACCAGAAAAUAAAUUACAAGUCUCUAAUAGGAAGCCCUAAGAGCCCUUUAAAAUGAAGCAAAAACAACAAAAUCUAUGUCCAAAUCACAAAUAUAAAUGAUGCUGAAUUUGUUUCUCUGGUAUCUGUAGUAUUUUUAAAGAAAAACUCAUCCCUAAAGACGGACUGACUGUCAGAUUUAGGAUGAAACGAUCUGAGGAUUUGAACGUGCCUGCUCCAUAAAAAGGAGUGGGCAGCAGCCUAUUAUAAGCUCUAGUUUGCAAUGAGUUUUCCUUGAAAGUUUUUGAUGGAAAACACCAUUACCCAGUUUGACCACUCACUGCUGGCUCUGAAUGACUAGUACAGUAUUUCCCAAGUCAAAUUCCAUUUAAAAAGCACAGACAUGCCACCACUGCCACCUCAUCUCUGAAGAUAAAGUUUUUCAAAGCCCCUUGAAAGAUAAAGCACUAUUAGAGUAAGUGGGCAUCCCCCUCCAGUAACGACUUGAAAAGAAGUUUUGGGUAUAGGCUGGGCUGAUCUUCAUCUAGUAGACACUGGGAAGACAUGUCUGAUGCAGACAACAUUCUUAUAUAAAAUGGUAAACUAGGGAGUUCCUGUUGUGGUGCAGUGGAAAUAAAUCAGACUGGCAUCCACGAGGAUGCAGGUUUGAUCCCUGGCCUCGCUCAGUGGGUUAAAGAUCUGGUGUUGCCAUGAGCUGUGGUGUAGUUCCCAGACUCAGCUCGGAUCUGGUAUUGCUGUGCCUAUGGUGUAGACUAUCAACUAUAGCUCCAAUUCAACCCCUAGCCCAGGAACCUCCAUAUGCCACAGGUGCAGCCCUAAGAAAAUUUAAAAAAUAAAAUUAAAUAAAUAAAAUGGCUAAAUCCAGUCCUUGGACUAUUUUUUAUUAAUUAAGUCUUGUUGGAACACGGACUGCUCAUUGUUUACAUUUUGUCUAUGGUUGCUCUCACCUACAAUGGCGGCAGAGCUAAAUAGUCCAUAAAGCCUAAAAUAUGUAUUACUUGGCACUUUACAGAUGUUUAUCUACUCCUGAUUUAGACUAUCACCAGUGUAUAUACUUACUGACGUUUGUGAGUUUUCAACCAUCUCUUUUAUUUUAUAUUUAUUUCUCUAUUAUUAUUUGUUCAUUGGCUGGGUUAUUUGUAUUGUCUUUGUUUUUUUUUUUUUUUAAGAAAUCAUUUCAUUGAAAGAUAAAGCAGAGAUAAAGUACAUACACCAAAAAAUGAAGAGUAUAAUAAAUUAUUAUAGGAUAAAAUCUCUUUUAACCAGGUCAAGAAAUUAAAUGUUUCCAAGCCACCCCAGAUGGCUUUUUCAAGUGUCUUCCACCCAAAUGCAUAACCAAUAGCCUAACUGUUAUGGUAAUCUUUUUCUUGCAUUCUUAUAGUAUUAUCACCCAAGUAUGUAUUCCUGGAAACUAAUUUUACCUGAAUCACUUUUUUUAAAAAAUUAAAAUUAAGUCACUUUAAUAUAUAAUUCCCACCAUCGCCACCUCUACUUCUUUGUCUUCCUUACAAUUUGCCUUUUGAAGGCCUGAGAAUUCCCCACAGUCUAGCUCUUUCUCACUAUAUAUUCCCAGCAGAGUU
rnacentral:lncRNA from 1 species